AGUAUUCGAUGAAACAGCAACAUGAUGCAAUUAUCGAAACUCUUUUUGCUCUUUGUUGGUGCUGUUUUAAUGACAGGCUUUUUUGUGACACCAGCAGAGUCUAUAACAUGCAAUUGUAAAAGUAAGCAUUUGCAUCCGAUUUGCUGGGGACUAUGUCGUAAGCGAGGAUAACUUCCUAUUGAAGAAUGAACGACAUGCACGUUGGCACAUCCAAGAAAGGAGUCAAACUUUUUUCUGAAUUUUAUUUUUCACUGUAUAAGUACAUAGUAUGAAAUAAAUUGCAUGUCAUUGAAAUAUUAAAACUUAUGUCUGAAGGUUCUGUCUAAA